rnacentral:rRNA from 1 species
GCCUAUAACUGGUACAAAUGGAAUUCAACGUCUGUGGUUAACUGAUUUGAGGCUUGUCAGUACACGACGGACACCGCAAAGAGCGGCGAACGGGUGAGUAACACGUGGGAAACCUACCUCUUAGCAGGGGAUAACAUUUGGAAACAGACGCUAAUACCGUAUAACAAUGACAACCGCAUGGUUGUUAUUUGAAAGAUGGUUCUGCUAUCACUAAGAGAUGGUCCCGCGGUGCAUUAGCUAGUUGGUAAGGUAAUGGCUUACCAAGGCGAUGAUGCAUAGCCGAGUUGAGAGACUGAUCGGCCACAAUGGGACUGAGACACGGCCCAUACUCCUACGGGAGGCAGCAGUAGGGAAUCUUCCACAAUGGGCGAAAGCCUGAUGGAGCAACGCCGCGUGUGUGAUGAAGGGUUUCGGCUCGUAAAACACUGUUGUAAGAGAAGAAUGACAUUGAGAGUAACUGUUCAAUGUGUGACGGUAUCUUACCAGAAAGGAACGGCUAAAUACGUGCCAGCAGCCGCGGUAAUACGUAUGUUCCAAGCGUUAUCCGGAUUUAUUGGGCGUAAAGCGAGCGCAGACGGUUAUUUAAGUCU